CCUUGAGGUAGACGGCGAGGCCCGCGUCGGCCACGUCGCCGACCUGGCGCGGCGUCAGCUCGAGGUCGUGCGGUUCGGCGCCGGGCUUGGUGA
rnacentral:tRNA from 1 species